UGAGCAAUCUGCCCUUCUCUUUGGAAUAAGCGUUGGAAACGACGUCUAAUGCCGAAUACGACCUCCUUUCGCAUGAUCGGAGGUGGAAAGCUCCGGCGGUGAAGGAUGAGCUCGCGGCCUAUCAGCUUGUUGGUGAGGUAUAGCUCACCAAGGCGAUGACGGGUAGCCGGCCUGAGAGGGUGACCGGCCACACUGGGACUGAGACACGGCCCAGACUCCGUAGGAGG
rnacentral:rRNA from 1 species